AUUGAACGCUGGCGGCAUGCCUUACACAUGCAAGUCGAACGGUAACAGGUCUUCGGAUGCUGACGAGUGGCGAACGGGUGAGUAAUACAUCGGAACGUGCCUAGUAGUGGGGGAUAACUACUCGAAAGAGUGGCUAAUACCGCAUGAGAUCUACGGAUGAAAGCAGGGGAUCGCAAGACCUUGAGCUGCUAGAGCGGCCGAUGGCAGACUAGGUAGUUGGUGGGAUAAAAGCUUACCAAGCCGACGAUCUGUAGCUGGUCUGAGAGGACGAUCAGCCACACUGGGACUGAGACACGGCCCAGACUCCUACGGGAGGCAGCAGUGGGGAAUUUUGGACAAUGGGCGAAAGCCUGAUCCAGCAAUGCCGCGUGCAGGAUGAAGGCCUUCGGGUUGUAAACUGCUUUUGUGCGGAACGAAAAGCCCCGGGUUAAUACCCUGGGGUCAUGACGGUACCGUAAGAAUAAGCACCGGCUAACUACGUGCCAGCCGCCGCGGUAA
rnacentral:rRNA from 1 species